rnacentral:rRNA from 1 species
UCCGGAGUUACUGGGCGUAAAGCGCGCGCAGGCGGCGGUGCUGGCCCGGCGUGAAAGCCCCCGGCUCAACCGGGGAGGGUCGUCGGGGACCGCACCGCUUGAGGGCGGGAGGGGCUGGUGGAAUGCCUGGUGUAGUGGUGAAAUGCGUAGAGAUCAGGCGGAACACCCGUGGCGAAGGCGGCCAGCUGGGCCGUCCCUGACGCUGAGGCGCGAAGGCGUGGGGAGCGAACGGG